UUAAGGGGGGUAGAGUUGUAACGCCCCAAUUUUCGGGAAUUCUGUGAAUGAUUGGCAAAAUUUCAUGCUUUAAUUUUGUCAUUUGUGAGUGAAAUUAUGAAAUAGGACCUAUGUGAAAAUGUUUGAAAAUGCUAUAGGCUAAAUUGAAGUGACCAAAUAAAUAGGAGUGCAAAAUAGGAGGAUUUGCAUGACAAGCCUCCCAUUUUACAUGAAGUGGCCAGCCAUCAUGUUGAAUGUAGACAAAAUGUACACUUGAUAUCCAUAAUUUAUGGUACAAAUUGAUACAAAUUGAUAAUAGGUUAGGUAAAUGUUUCAUGAUAAUGUGUUAGGUAAAUGUUUCAUGAUAAUGGGUUAGGUAAAUGUUUUAUGAUAAUGUAUUAGGUAAAUGUUUCAUGAUAAUGGGUUAGGUAAAUGUUUCAUGAUAAGAAUUUCAUGUCUUUUGUAUUAAAGAAUUAAAUGGAUGAAAUAUGAAGUUUUAUUAAAGAAAAAGGGGUGAAAAGAACAAAGUUUUGUCCAUCUUUGUUCAUCAUAGCUGAAAGUUAGAGAAGAGAAAGGAGAGGAGAAAGCUCUUGAGUAUUUGGUCAUUAGGAGGAGGAGAAUUGAAGGCGGUUCGUGUGUGGAUCUCGUCAACAUAUCGUCGCAAAGCAGUGUGUAACUAACACCCUCUUUCUUAGUCGGAUCGGCAAAAGUCGAAAAGUCGAAAUGCCGAAAACCGGUAUUUUGUAGAUUUGCGAGUGUGCGAAUGUUCGUGAGGAAAUCCCCAACCAUAGUGGGCUUGGAGCUGUGAGGGAAUUCGGAGUGGCCACCCGUUCUGAAAGUUUGAUUUUCUUCUGGUGAACUGGACAUCCUUUUAAUUACGUUUGUGGUUUUGGGCUUUUAAAUGUAAUAAGGCCGCUUAUUUAUUUUUGGUGGUUUUUAAUAUGUAUUAGUAAGAUAGGUAAUACUUAUUUUAACUGUUGAAAUUGGAUAGCUUUAGGGCGCGUUUUCAAAAACAA